rnacentral:rRNA from 1 species
AUUGAACGCUGGCGGCAGGCCUAACACAUGCAAGUCGAGCGGAGCGGCGGACGGGCGAGUAACGCCUAGGUAUCUGCCCGGUAGUGGGGGAUAACGUCCGGAAACGGGCGUCAAUACUGUAAACUAUCAGAUGAGCCUAGGUCGGAUUAGCUAGUGGGUGGUGUAAAGGCCUACCAAGGCGACGAGCCGGAACUGGUCUGAGAGGAUGAUCAGUCACACUGGGACUGAGACACGGUCCAGACUCCUACGGGAGGCAGCAGUGGGGAAUAUUGGACAAUGGGCGAAAGCCUGAUCCAGCCAUGCCGCGUGUGUGAAGAAGGUCUUCGGAUUGUAAAGCACUUUAAGUUGGGAGGCGUUACCAACAGAGUAAGCACCGGCUAACUACGUGCCAGCAGCCGCGGUAAUUC